AUUGAACGCUGGCGGCAGGCUUAACACAUGCAAGUCGAGCGAGCGGCGGACGGGUGAGUAAUGUCUGGGAAACUGACUGAUGGAGGGGGAUAACUACUGGAAACGGUAGCUAAUACCGCAUACCAUCAGAUGUGCCCAGAUGGGAUUAGCGGGUGGGUGGGGUAAUGGCUCACCUAGGCGACGAUCCCUAGCUGGUCUGUGAGGGCGACCCGCCCCACUGGAACUGAGACACGGUCACGCCUCCUUCCUGCUUCCGCCUUUCUGUCUCUUUCGCCGUUGGCGCCAGCCUGCUUCCGCCAUGCCGCGUGUGUGCAUGGCUCCUUCGGGUUUUCCCGCACUUUCAGCGAGGAGGCGUUACUCGCAGAAGAAGCACCGGCUAACUCCGUGCCAGCAGCCGCGGUAAUAC
rnacentral:rRNA from 1 species